AGCGAACGCUGGCGGCGUGCCUAACACAUGCAAGUCGAACGUGAAAUGGGGGCAACCCAAAGUAAAGUGGCGUACGGGUGAGUAACGCGUAGGUAAUCUACCUGAGAGUCUGGAAUAACCGGCCGAAAGGCUGGCUAAUACUGGAUAGAGCGAGGAAUCCGUAAUUGGGUUUUUCGGGAAAGGGAGGCAGCAAUGCCCCUCGCUUUCAGAUGAGCCUGCGUCUCAUUAGCUAGUGGUGAGGUAAUGGCUCACCAAGGCAUUGAUGGGUAGCUGGUCUGAGAGGAUGGUCAGCCGGAUUGGGACUGAGAUACGGCCCAGACUCCGUACGGGGGCAGCAAUUAGGAAUCUUGCGCAAUGGGCGAAAGCCUGACGCAGCGACGUCGCGGUGGGGGGAGGAA
rnacentral:rRNA from 1 species